ensembl:snoRNA
CUGGCCCUGAAUCAAGGCCAGCAGUUUUCUGAAGCUGUUGGUUUCAAGCAGGAGCCUAAAGAGAUGUCUUUCUAUGGUCUGUUGGCCAUUUCAGAACUUGGCAAAUGGAAUGGUCAAUUCAUUAGAAAGAAACAGUA